rnacentral:rRNA from 1 species
AACGGCCAUACCAUGCUGAAUAUACCCGUUCUCGUUAGAUCACCGAAGUCAAACAUCAUUGGGGGCGGUCUGUACUUGGGUGGGUGACCACCUGGGAACACCGCGUGCCGUU